rnacentral:tRNA from 1 species
UGGGGCGUAGCCAAGCGGUAAGGCAACGGGUUUUGGUCCCGCUAUUCGGAGGUUCGAGUCCUUCCGUCCCAG